UGGGGAAUAUUGGACAAUGGGGGGAACCCUGAUCCAGCCAUGCCGCGUGUGUGAAGAAGGCCUUAUGGUUGUAAAGCACUUUAAGCAGUGAAGAAUACAUCAUGGCUAAUAUCCGUGAUGAAUGACAUUAGCUGCAGAAUAAGCACCGGCUAACUCUGUGCCAGCAGCCGCGGUAAUACAGAGGGUGCGAGCGUUAAUCGGAAUUACUGGGCGUAAAGCGAGCGUAGGUGGUUUAUUAAGUCAGAUGUGAAAUCCCUGGGCUUAACCUAGGAACUGCAUCUGAUACUGACAAACUAGAGUAGGUGAGAGGAAAGUAGAAUUCCAGGUGUAGCGGCGAAAUGCGUAGAGAUCUGGAGGAAUACCGAUGGCGAAGGCAGCUUUCUGGCAUCAUACUGACACUGAGGUUCGAAAGCGUGGGUAGCAAACAGGAUUAGAUACCCUGGUAGUCCACGCCGUAAACGAUGUCUACCAGUCGUUGGGUCUUUUAAAGACUUAGUGACGCAGUUAACGCGAUAAGUAGACCGCCUGGGGAGUACGGCCGCAAGGUUA
rnacentral:rRNA from 1 species